rnacentral:rRNA from 1 species
AAGAUGAGAGUUCGAUCCUGGCUCAGGAUGAACGCUGGCGGCGUGCCUAACACAUGCAAGUCGAACGAGCGAGAGAUGAAACCUAGUGAUUCUCGAGCGAGUGGCGGACGGGUGAGUAACGCGUGGGUAACCUGCCUUACAGAGGGGGAU